UUAAGCGACUAAGCGUACACGGUGGAUGCCCUGGCAGUCAGAGGCGAUGAAGGACGUGCUAAUCUGCGAAAAGCGUCGGUAAGGUGAUAUGAACCGUUAUAACCGGCGAUGUCCGAAUGGGGAAACCCAGUGUGAUUCGUCACACUAUCGUUAACUGAAUACAUAGGUUAACGAGGCGAACCGGGGGAACUGAAACAUCUAAGUACCCCGAGGAAAAGAAAUCAACCGAGAUUCCCCCAGUAGCGGCGAGCGAACGGGGAGCAGCCCAGAGUCUGAAUCAGCUUGUGUGUUAGUGGAACGGUCUGGAAAGUCCGACGGUACAGGGUGAUAGUCCCGUACACCAAAAUGCACAGGCUGUGAACUCGAAGAGUAGGGCGGGACACGUGGUAUCCUGUCUGAAUAUGGGGGGACCAUCCUCCAAGGCUAAAUACUCCUGACUGACCGAUAGUGAACCAGUACCGUGAGGGAAAGGCGAAAAGAACCCCGGCGAGGGGAGUGAAAAAGAACCUGAAACCGUGUACGUACAAGCAGUGGGAGCACCUUCGGGUGUGACUGCGUACCUUUUGUAUAAUGGGUCAGCGACUUAUAUUCUGUAGCAAGGUUAACCGUAUAGGGGAGCCGCAGGGAAACCGAGUCUUAACUGGGCGUUAAGUUGCAGGGUAUAGACCCGAAACCCGGUGAUCUAGCCAUGGGCAGGUUGAAGGUUGGGUAACACUAACUGGAGGACCGAACCGACUAAUGUUGAAAAAUUAGCGGAUGACUUGUGGCUGGGGGUGAAAGGCCAAUCAAACCGGGAGAUAGCUGGUUCUCCCCGAAAGCUAUUUAGGUAGCGCCUCGUGAACUCAUCUUCGGGGGUAGAGCACUGUUUCGGCUAGGGGGUCAUCCCGACUUACCAACCCGAUGCAAACUACGAAUACCGAAGAAUGUUAUCACGGGAGACACACGGCGGGUGCUAACGUCCGUCGUGAAGAGGGAAACAACCCAGACCGCCAGCUAAGGUCCCAAAGUCAUGGUUAAGUGGGAAACGAUGUGGGAAGGCACAGACAGCCAGGAUGUUGGCUUAGAAGCAGCCAUCAUUUAAAGAAAGCGUAAUAGCUCACUGGUCGAGUCGGCCUGCGCGGAAGAUGUAACGGGGCUAAACCAUGCACCGAAGCUGCGGCAGCGACACUAUGUGUUGUUGGGUAGGGGAGCGUUCUGUAAGCCUGCGAAGGUGUGCUGUGAGGCAUGCUGGAGGUAUCAGAAGUGCGAAUGCUGACAUAAGUAACGAUAAAGCGGGUGAAAAGCCCGCUCGCCGGAAGACCAAGGGUUCCUGUCCAACGUUAAUCGGGGCAGGGUGAGUCGACCCCUAAGGCGAGGCCGAAAGGCGUAGUCGAUGGGAAACAGGUUAAUAUUCCUGUACUUGGUGUUACUGCGAAGGGGGGACGGAGAAGGCUAUGUUAGCCGGGCGACGGUUGUCCCGGUUUAAGCAUGUAGGCUGGUUGUCCAGGCAAAUCCGGAUAAUCAAGGCUGAGGUGUGAUGACGAGGCACUACGGUGCUGAAGUAACAAAUGCCCUGCUUCCAGGAAAAGCCUCUAAGCAUCAGGUAACAUCAAAUCGUACCCCAAACCGACACAGGUGGUCAGGUAGAGAAUACCAAGGCGCUUGAGAGAACUCGGGUGAAGGAACUAGGCAAAAUGGUGCCGUAACUUCGGGAGAAGGCACGCUGGUGUGUAGGUGAAGUCCCUGCGGAUGGAGCUGAGACCAGUCGAAGAUACCAGCUGGCUGCAACUGUUUAUUAAAAACACAGCACUGUGCAAACACGAAAGUGGACGUAUACGGUGUGACGCCUGCCCGGUGCCGGAAGGUUAAUUGAUGGGGUUAUCCGUAAGGAGAAGCUCUUGAUCGAAGCCCCGGUAAACGGCGGCCGUAACUAUAACGGUCCUAAGGUAGCGAAAUUCCUUGUCGGGUAAGUUCCGACCUGCACGAAUGGCGUAAUGAUGGCCAGGCUGUCUCCACCCGAGACUCAGUGAAAUUGAACUCGCUGUGAAGAUGCAGUGUACCCGCGGCAAGACGGAAAGACCCCGUGAACCUUUACUAUAGCUUGACACUGAACAUUGAGCCUUGAUGUGUAGGAUAGGUGGGAGGCUUUGAAGCGUGGACGCCAGUCUGCGUGGAGCCAACCUUGAAAUACCACCCUUUAAUGUUUGAUGUUCUAACGUUGGCCCCUGACCGGGGUUGCGGACAGUGUCUGGUGGGUAGUUUGACUGGGGCGGUCUCCUCCCAAAGCGUAACGGAGGAGCACGAAGGUUAGCUAAUCCUGGUCGGACAUCAGGAGGUUAGUGCAAUGGCAUAAGCUAGCUUGACUGCGAGCGUGACGGCGCGAGCAGGUGCGAAAGCAGGUCAUAGUGAUCCGGUGGUUCUGAAUGGAAGGGCCAUCGCUCAACGGAUAAAAGGUACUCCGGGGAUAACAGGCUGAUACCGCCCAAGAGUUCAUAUCGACGGCGGUGUUUGGCACCUCGAUGUCGGCUCAUCACAUCCUGGGGCUGAAGUAGGUCCCAAGGGUAUGGCUGUUCGCCAUUUAAAGUGGUACGCGAGCUGGGUUUAGAACGUCGUGAGACAGUUCGGUCCCUAUCUGCCGUGGGCGCUGGAGAAUUGAGGGGGGCUGCUCCUAGUACGAGAGGACCGGAGUGGACGCAUCACUGGUGUUCGGGUUGUCAUGCCAAUGGCACUGCCCGGUAGCUAAAUGCGGAAGAGAUAAGUGCUGAAAGCAUCUAAGCACGAAACUUGCCCCGAGAUGAGUUCUCCCUGAGACUUUAAGUCUCCUGAAGGAACGUUAAAGACGAUGACGUUGAUAGGCCGGGUGUGUAAGCGCAGCGAUGCGUUGAGCUAACCGGUACUAAUGAACCGUGAGGCUUAACCUU
rnacentral:rRNA from 1 species